rnacentral:rRNA from 1 species
CUACGGGAGGCAGCAGUCGAGGAUCUUCGGCAAUGAGCGCAAGCUUGACCGAGCGACGCCGCGUGCGGGAUGAAGGCCUUCGGGUUGUAAACCGCUUUGGUGGGGGAGGAAAUUUCUGACCUAUCCCAAGAACAAGCACGGGCUAAGUUCGUGCCAGCAGCCGCGGUAAGACGAACCGUGCGAACGUUGUUCGGAAUCACUGGGCUUAAAGGGCGCGUAGGCGGUCUGUCAAGUCUGGGGUGAAAUCUUUCGGCUUAACCGGAAAAUGGCCUUAGAUACUGAUGGGCUAGAGGGAGAUAGAGGUGGCUGGAACUACCAGUGGAGCGGUGAAAUGCGUUGAUAUUGGUAGGAACGCCAGAGGCGAAGGCGAGCCGCUGGAUCUCUUCUGACGCUGAUGCGCGAAAGCUAGGGGAGCGAACGGGAUUAGAAACCCCAGUAGUCC